rnacentral:tRNA from 1 species
GGAGAGAUGUCCGAGUGGUUUAAGGAGCGCGCUUGGAAGGCGCGUGUGCCCCAGAAGGGUACCGGGGGUUCGAAUCCCCCUCUCUCCG